UAUGCAUAAUAGAUUUGUUCGGGAAAAGCUUCCAAUGACACACGUUGAAUCAAAUAUACAUAUUCAGUAUCCCAUCCCAGCAGCACCACCUAUUGUUGUCUGGUAGCUCUUGAACUAAACUUCACAAGUACCUCGUUUGUUUAUUUCUUUGGGCAUCUCUGUGAGGUCUUCAAUAUAUUAUAUAUUUUAUAGGUUAUAAGGGUUAAGUAUUAAGGCUGUGGUGACUUUUCCAAAGUUAUAAAUCUGUUCCGUAAAUAAAAUGAAUUUUUGUGCCACUUCAGACUUUCAUUUUAAUUGGUGAAAACAAACUGAACGGAGAAGCUAUAUGGUCAUAAAAAUGUGUAUGGACAUAAAAUAAUGCUUGGAAAAUAGAAUCCUAGUUGUAUCUGUAUCUUUUGGAAUUCACCACUAUCAUAUAUUAUUUAUCAAAUCUAUGUGGAAGUUUUCCCCCCAUGGGGUUUAAAAACACCUAUAAAACACAAAUAUUAUUACUUGCAUUUACAGGUAGAAGCUAAAACUCAAAAAGUGUCAAAUGGGGCUAUUAUGGCAUUAUUCCCAUAAGAGAGACAGGAAAUAUGUUUAUAGUAGAAAAUUCAAUGAAAUUAACAAAGGUAGGUAUGGAAUUUACUUAAUUUCUUUAAUUACCAAAUAAUGAACUACAGUCUAAGUCAAAUUUGCAAAAUCUUUUAUAAGAAAACACUAAAAUUAUAAACAAAAUGUAAAGUCAAAUGUUAAUCUUGUUUCUUCUGAAUGAAUAUGUGAGACAUGUGUCCUUAAACCAUCCUAGAGGAGGGGCGCCUGGGUGGCUCAGUCUGUUUGGCAUCUGCCUUUGGACCAGGUCGUGACCACUCUGCCACUCCCUCUGCUGCUACUCCUACUUGUGCUCUCUUACUCUUGC
rnacentral:lncRNA from 1 species